GUUUUUAUCAUAUUUAUUAAACCUACUUAUCAUUUUGAGAUAUAUCAAUAUUCUUGCUAGAUAUACUGAGCCAAAGUUAGCUUUAAAACUGUGAACAGCGUCGUUUAGGAUAAACGCUUUGUCUACAUUUCACUCAGCGUAGCACAAUCAACAGAGUGAAAGAAAUUGACACUCUCGUCCAAUCAGGCAGAGUGUUGCAUAAAUCUUCCAUUUUGAUAAAUUAUCUCUAAUGCGUUAUCAAGUAGUUUGAUUUGCAAACUGAUGUCACGUGGCAUAGGUAACGAAAACGAAUUUAGACGGCGUUCGCCGAAAAACAUUGUUUUACCCACCACAGAUAAACAGAUGUUAACGCGUGCCGUCACGGCGAUCGUUUCUAUUACUAGCAAAAUUGCAAGCGAAUUGGCCAACAUUCUGCAUUUGAUAGUUUGCAAAGCGUUUACAUAGACUUAGAUUUUAACAUUCAUUUUGACGUUUGUUUUUAUUCAAACAUUUUGUAUCAUUGUGCUGAUAAAACUCGUGAAAGAAGAGGCUUGUUUGAAAAACAGCUCAGGAGGAAAUAGAGGCUUGACGUGGUUAAAAAGAAGUUACAAUGAGGCAUUUUAUUCAGUACGUAAUUCUGAUCUGUCUGCUCGGCACUGUCUUAGGUAGAUACAUAGCAAACACUGGGAUAGAUGUGGCAGCGUCUGUCAAAGAAAAUGAAACAGCGCAUAAAGGCGUGCGACGGCUGUGUCCACGAUGUUAUGGUUGGAGGAAAUUACAAAGGAAUUUCAGCGGUGCAUCUGUCAGAAAACUGUUAAAGAAUUAACUAUUGAACCCUUUGAUUUACGCCAUACAAACCUUAGGCUAGAUUUCUUAAAUCCUCUGUAUAUAAAGAACGAUGUUGUGUAUUUACAGUACAGAUAAACGGGAAAUAAUAUUAUAAAUGUAUAUCUAUAUCUCUAGAUGCCUUUUUUAUGUCUGUUCACCUACUGUGUGUCCAUUAAAUCUGUAACAUAUUUUUCAUUAGUUACGGCUUUAGGUUUGCAAUAUCCAGAUAACAAUUAUGUACAAUCUUGCAGGGGGUUGUUUUAAGAAUCCUAACACAUUAAAUAAUAUCAAAGUUACUGUAACGGUCAAACUCUAUUCUCCCAGGUAAAAUUCUAGCUGAUGAAAAUGUUUGAAAACUUAUCCAGAAAUUCAUAUAAACGUCUGCAACAAAUAAAAUCAAAAUUGAAAUUUCAGUUCUUUUAGAGUCCAAAAUGGCUGAAAUACGUUGUGAAAAUAACCUUCAAAACUAGUUAAGACAUUUUGAAACUUAAAAAAGUCCCCGAUACCACCCUUGGAAUGAUUAAGAAAAAUGACAAUGACGUACAUUUAAAGACUAACGAAGGAAAAAGGGGGGAAAAAAUCUUAUUUGUUUUUAGAUUUAUUAUCUAUUGACAAAAAGAUGAAUUGUAUAGAAACAAGGUUUCUCUAGCUUCUAAAUGUUGAUGAUUCGUUUCGAUUUCUUACUGCAAUCUCCAAAGCAUUGUUGUGAUAGUAUGCCCUAUCAACAUUUACUUACAAUUUGUGUUUUCAUAAGUUCUUCUUUGACAAUAUAGGGAUAAAAAUGUAGGGACACACAGAUAAUUUCAAGUUUGUUUUGCAUGUUUAUAUAUUUCUUUUUCCUAUGCACCCAUAAAUUUCGUUUAUCUUUAAAAUGAAUGCAAACCUAAUGCACUGUAAAGAAUGUUAUGCUUAAGCUGUAGCACCAUCUUGGAAAAAUAUUUCAAUAUGAUCACAAUUUUGACGUUGCUUGUUCUCCAUUUAAUUUUUAGACUUCUGAUAUACUAGUAUAUGAUUAAAUGAAAGCAUACAAUCAAAUUGACAGUGAAGCAGUGUGAAGAUUAAUACAAAUAAAUGGCAAACGACACGUCAAUAAAAUUUUA